UUUAUUGGAGAGUUUGAUCCUGGCUCAGGAUGAACGCUGGCGGCGUGCCUAAUACAUGCAAGUCGAGCGAAUGGAUUGAG
rnacentral:rRNA from 1 species